rnacentral:rRNA from 1 species
AUACGGAGGGUGCGAGCGUUAAUCGGAAUUACUGGGCGUAAAGCGCGCGUAGGCUGCUUUGUAAGUCGGAUGUGAAAGCCCUGGGCUCAACCUGGGAAUUGCACUCGAUACUGCAGAGCUAGAGUAUGGUAGAGGGAAGUGGAAUUUCCGGUGUAGCGGUGAAAUGCGUAGAUAUCGGAAGGAACACCAGUGGCGAAGGCGACUUCCUGGGCCAAUACUGACGCUGAGGUGCGAAAGCGUGGGGAGCAAACAGGAUUAGAAACCCCAGUAGUCC